GGUUAAGCGACUAAGCGUACACGGUGGAUGCCCUGGCAGUCAGAGGCGAUGAAGGACGUGCUAAUCUGCGAUAAGCGUCGGUAAGGUGAUAUGAACCGUUAUAACCGGCGAUUUCCGAAUGGGGAAACCCAGUGUGAUUCGUCACACUAUCAUUAACUGAAUCCAUAGGUUAAUGAGGCGAACCGGGGGAACUGAAACAUCUAAGUACCCCGAGGAAAAGAAAUCAACCGAGAUUCCCCCAGUAGCGGCGAGCGAACGGGGAGCAGCCCAGAGCCUGAAUCAGUGUGUGUGUUAGUGGAAGCGUCUGGAAAGGCGCGCGAUACAGGGUGACAGCCCCGUACACAAAAAUGCACAUACUGUGAGCUCGAUGAGUAGGGCGGGACACGUGGUAUCCUGUCUGAAUAUGGGGGGACCAUCCUCCAAGGCUAAAUACUCCUGACUGACCGAUAGUGAACCAGUACCGUGAGGGAAAGGCGAAAAGAACCCCGGCGAGGGGAGUGAAAAAGAACCUGAAACCGUGUACGUACAAGCAGUGGGAGCACGCUUAGGCGUGUGACUGCGUACCUUUUGUAUAAUGGGUCAGCGACUUAUAUUCUGUAGCAAGGUUAACCGAAUAGGGGAGCCGAAGGGAAACCGAGUCUUAACUGGGCGUUAAGUUGCAGGGUAUAGACCCGAAACCCGGUGAUCUAGCCAUGGGCAGGUUGAAGGUUGGGUAACACUAACUGGAGGACCGAACCGACUAAUGUUGAAAAAUUAGCGGAUGACUUGUGGCUGGGGGUGAAAGGCCAAUCAAACCGGGAGAUAGCUGGUUCUCCCCGAAAGCUAUUUAGGUAGCGCCUCGUGAAUUCAUCUCCGGGGGUAGAGCACUGUUUCGGCAAGGGGGUCAUCCCGACUUACCAACCCGAUGCAAACUGCGAAUACCGGAGAAUGUUAUCACGGGAGACACACGGCGGGUGCUAACGUCCGUCGUGAAGAGGGAAACAACCCAGACCGCCAGCUAAGGUCCCAAAGUCAUGGUUAAGUGGGAAACGAUGUGGGAAGGCCCAGACAGCCAGGAUGUUGGCUUAGAAGCAGCCAUCAUUUAAAGAAAGCGUAAUAGCUCACUGGUCGAGUCGGCCUGCGCGGAAGAUGUAACGGGGCUAAACCAUGCACCGAAGCUGCGGCAGCGACGCUGAUGCGUUGUUGGGUAGGGGAGCGUUCUGUAAGCCUGCGAAGGUGUGCUGUGAGGCAUGCUGGAGGUAUCAGAAGUGCGAAUGCUGACAUAAGUAACGAUAAAGCGGGUGAAAAGCCCGCUCGCCGGAAGACCAAGGGUUCCUGUCCAACGUUAAUCGGGGCAGGGUGAGUCGACCCCUAAGGCGAGGCCGAAAGGCGUAGUCGAUGGGAAACAGGUUAAUAUUCCUGUACUUGGUGUUACUGCGAAGGGGGGACGGAGAAGGCUAUGUUGGCCGGGCGACGGUUGUCCCGGUUUAAGCGUGUAGGCUGGUUUUCCAGGCAAAUCCGGAAAAUCAAGGCUGAGGCGUGAUGACGAGGCACUACGGUGCUGAAGCAACAAAUGCCCUGCUUCCAGGAAAAGCCUCUAAGCAUCAGGUAACAUCAAAUCGUACCCCAAACCGACACAGGUGGUCAGGUAGAGAAUACCAAGGCGCUUGAGAGAACUCGGGUGAAGGAACUAGGCAAAAUGGUGCCGUAACUUCGGGAGAAGGCACGCUGAUAUGUAGGUGAAGUCCCUCGCGGAUGGAGCUGAAAUCAGUCGAAGAUACCAGCUGGCUGCAACUGUUUAUUAAAAACACAGCACUGUGCAAACACGAAAGUGGACGUAUACGGUGUGACGCCUGCCCGGUGCCGGAAGGUUAAUUGAUGGGGUCAGCGCAAGCGAAGCUCUUGAUCGAAGCCCCGGUAAACGGCGGCCGUAACUAUAACGGUCCUAAGGUAGCGAAAUUCCUUGUCGGGUAAGUUCCGACCUGCACGAAUGGCGUAAUGAUGGCCAGGCUGUCUCCACCCGAGACUCAGUGAAAUUGAACUCGCUGUGAAGAUGCAGUGUACCCGCGGCAAGACGGAAAGACCCCGUGAACCUUUACUAUAGCUUGACACUGAACAUUGAGCCUUGAUGUGUAGGAUAGGUGGGAGGCUUUGAAGUGUGGACGCCAGUCUGCAUGGAGCCGGCCUUGAAAUACCACCCUUUAAUGUUUGAUGUUCUAACGUUGACCCGUGAUCCGGGUUGCGGACAGUGUCUGGUGGGUAGUUUGACUGGGGCGGUCUCCUCCUAAAGAGUAACGGAGGAGCACGAAGGUUGGCUAAUCCUGGUCGGACAUCAGGAGGUUAGUGCAAUGGCAUAAGCCAGCUUGACUGCGAGCGUGACGGCGCGAGCAGGUGCGAAAGCAGGUCAUAGUGAUCCGGUGGUUCUGAAUGGAAGGGCCAUCGCUCAACGGAUAAAAGGUACUCCGGGGAUAACAGGCUGAUACCGCCCAAGAGUUCAUAUCGACGGCGGUGUUUGGCACCUCGAUGUCGGCUCAUCACAUCCUGGGGCUGAAGUAGGUCCCAAGGGUAUGGCUGUUCGCCAUUUAAAGUGGUACGCGAGCUGGGUUUAGAACGUCGUGAGACAGUUCGGUCCCUAUCUGCCGUGGGCGCUGGAGAACUGAGGGGGGCUGCUCCUAGUACGAGAGGACCGGAGUGGACGCAUCACUGGUGUUCGGGUUGUCAUGCCAAUGGCACUGCCCGGUAGCUAAAUGCGGAAGAGAUAAGUGCUGAAAGCAUCUAAGCACGAAACUUGCCCCGAGAUGAGUUCUCCCUGACUCCUUGAGAGUCCUGAAGGAACGUUGAAGACGACGACGUUGAUAGGCCGGGUGUGUAAGCGCAGCGAUGCGUUGAGCUAACCGGUACUAAUGAACCGUGAGGCUUAACCUU
rnacentral:rRNA from 1 species